rnacentral:rRNA from 1 species
UACGAAGGGGGCUAGCGUUGUUCGGAAUUACUGGGCGUAAAGCGCGCGCAGGCGGUCUUCCAAGUCAGUGGUGAAAGCCCGGAGCUCAACUCCGGAAUUGCCAUUGAAACUGUUGGACUUGAGGAUGAGAGAGGUGAGUGGAAUUCCCAGUGUAGAGGUGAAAUUCGUAGAUAUUGGGAAGAACACCAGUGGCGAAGGCGACUCACUGGACACGUAUUGACGCUGAGGUGCGAAAGCGUGGGGAGCAAACAGG